rnacentral:lncRNA from 1 species
AUCAUUUGUUACAAGCACGUAAAGCUAAAAAUUAUGCGACUAAGAUAAAGGUCAAACAAUGUAAAGCAAAAGAGAGGCUGAAACAUUUAAGCCCUCGAAGUUUCCAAGUUGAAAUCUUCAAAUAUAUUCAAGUUGAAGUCCCCAAGUUGAAAUCUUCAACCCCGCCGGUCUUCAAGUUGAAGUCUUCAAAUCCGCUAAUCUUCAAGUUGAAAUAUUUAGGCCCUCCAAGUCUUAAAGUUGAAGUCUUCAAAUUCGGUGAUCUUCAAGCUGAAACAUUUAAGCCCUUCGAAUCUUCGAGUUGAAGUAUGCAAAGUCCGCCAAAUCUUCAAAGUUUUCCAAGUGUUCAAGUUGAUGCCGUCUUCGAGUUGAAGCUUUAUAACUUUCCAGUCUUAAGGUGGACAUAUAAGUACCUUUGCACCUUAAGUUGGCCUCUUCGUGGGUUUGUC